GAUGAACGCUGGCGGCGUGCUUAACACAUGCAAGUCGAACGAAGCAAUUGGAGUGCUUGCACUUUGAUUGACUGAGUGGCGGACGGGUGAGUAACGUGUGGGUAACCCUGCCUCACACAGGGGGGAUAACAGUUGGAAACAGCUGCUAAUACCGCAUAAGCGCACGGUACCGCAUGGUACAGUGUGAAAAACUCCGGUGGUGUGAGAUGGACCCGCGUCUGAUUAGCUAGUUGGUAAGGUAACGGCUUACCAAGGCGACGAUCAGUAGCCGGCCUGAGAGGGUGAACGGCCACAUUGGGACUGAGACACGGGCCCAAAACUCCUACGGGAGGCAGCAGUGGGGAAUAUUGCACAAAUGGGGGAAACCCCUAGAUGCAGACGACGCGCGUGAACGAAGAGUA
rnacentral:rRNA from 1 species